rnacentral:rRNA from 1 species
UACAUGGGGUGCAAACGUUGCUCGGAAUUACUGGGCGUAAAGGGCUCGUAGGCGGCCAACUAAGUCGGAUGUGAAAUCCCCAGGCUUAACCUGGGAACUGCAUCCGAUACUGGAUGGCUUGAAUUCGGGAGAGGGAUGCAGAAUUCCAGGUGUAGCGGUGAAAUGCGUAGAUAUCUGGAGGAAUACCGGUGGCGAAGGCGGCAUCCUGGACCGACAUUGACGCUGAGGAGCGAAAGCUAGGGGAGCAAACGGG